AGAGAAGACGGAUGCACAAAAGCUUGCGGUAAGAAUAUAUUUGACUGCUAGCUAAGCUAAAAGUAGCCUAGCCAUAACCCAAAGCUAAGGGUGUAUUUUUUGUGAUUUACAGUACGCCGUCUUCACAACUCGGAGACAAAUUGCAGGCGCUAUGAACCGGCGCAAGGACUAAGCACGCCUCAUAAUGAGGCAGUUACCUCCUAUCUGCUCGGAGCAAUAACUGCAAGCCUCGAUUUACACUAUAUUGUUAAAGACGACAUUGUGUCCGCCUGUAAGACGUAUUACGAGACGGUACGCAGGAGCUUCAGAUAUACGCAGCCAGAGAACUCAAUGCGGGCGGAAGCUGCCAAGAAUUCAGCUCGGAGUCGAGCUAGAAGAAAGAGGCUGCAGGAAUCGAGGCAGAGCGUGCUAGCUGAUGAGGAAGUGGAACUCUGGAUGUCCGCCACCGUCGACCUCAUGUCUGACGAGGAAGAUGGCGUCGUUGGCGGGGCGCCGUCAUUUCGUAG